AGGGUGGGCUCAGAGCAGGAGGCCUGAGGAAUGGCUCCUCUGUUGACAACAUACCCAACAAGAAUCUGGGAUCAUUGCGACCAGAGGUACCAAAACCUGUGACCUUCCUAUGAACAAAUGCCCUACAUGU
ensembl:snoRNA